AGGCCUGUAGCUCAACUGGCUAGAGCGCCGGUCUCCAAAACCGGAGGCUGGGGGUUCGAUUCCCUCCAGGCCUGCCA
rnacentral:tRNA from 2 species